rnacentral:lncRNA from 1 species
AUCUCCAUUCUUGUAUUAUUGUACGGGUUACAUUCUUGUAACAGAUGGAUACCGGUAAGGCUACAUUAGUGUAGUAUAUGUUAAUCUGCAUUAUUGUAAUAUCGAAUGAGUUACAUUCUUGUAACCGAUGGAUACCGGUUAGGCUACAUUAUUGUAGUAUAUGUUAAUCUGCAUUAUUGUAAUAUCGAAUGAGUUACAUUCUUGUAACCGAUGGAUACCGGUUAGGCUACAUUAUUGUAGUAUAUGUUAAUCUGCAUUAUUGUAAUAUCGAAUGAGUUACAUUCUUGUAGCAGAUGGAUACCGGUUAGGCUACAUUAUUGUAGUAUAUGUUAAUCUGCAUUAUUGUAAUAUCGAAUGAGUUACAUUUCUGUACAGAUGGAUACCGGUUAGGCUACAGUAUUAUAGUAUAUGUUAAUCUCCAUUCUUGUAUUAUUGUACGGGUUACAUUCUUGUAACAGAUGGAUACCGGUUAGGCCACGUUGUUGCAAUAUUGGUUAAUCUAUGUGAUGACCACCUGUGUCAUGUAACGGGCUACUUAAUGUGACAUGUGGUUUUCCAAUUCCUCCCGAUGCAAGUAUGAUCUUUACAUCAGCCACGGUAAUAUAUCAUUGUUUUCUAAAACCGUGCUGACAGUUUUCACUCCGCAAGGUACUUGCAAAGUAGCAAAAUGUGGAAGCUUUUUUCAGGAACAUAAACAAUCAUGAUGGAAUUUUAAAUUAUAUACGUACUGUAACAGAAAGUUUGAGGUACAGUGAUAUCCAAAGGUAAAAGCGGUAAUGUAUUAUUCCUCGAUGGAAUAAGUUUAGUAGGUAUUCCCUUUCACUUUUUGUUUUAUGUAAGCCUCUGCUGGAUUUAGAAUGCAAACAAUAUAAUCAGUUAUUGGACCUCAAUCAGAAAAAAGUUGGAAAUUACAGUUAUAACAGAGCCUGUUCUUCAAUCAGAACAUCAUCUCCAGGGGGCCCUCUUGUGAAAUAUACGUAACAUAGUUUAAUUUUUAUCAUAUUAAGUUGUAACUUUCCUGGAUACCUACUUUUCCUCACCUUAAAGAUUUUUAAGACUUUAGAAAUUACAGAUCUAACAAUAACUUGAAGUAUUUAAAGUACCAAUUAAUAGCAGAAAACCUUUUCGUGAUAUUAUUUUGUCCGUUUAUAAACCGCCACCUAUCAACUGAAGCGAAAAAAGUAAUUCCAUUUCAGAACGAGUAAAACUAUAUCGAAUAUUAAUAUAAUAUUUCCUUUUCGGUAACUGAUAUAGGCCAUACUUUAAUGUUAAGUGUGCAAUUUGACGUAAGCAGGGGACGAUCAAGUUCAUUGCAGAAUUAAAGUCAUUCUAGGUGGAACUUCGUUUCACUAGUAUUUACUUUCUUCAGCUAACAUUACAAAAACAUGUGUAGCAGCGCAUGAAAAAAAGCUAAGACUAAUUUAUUUGCAAGAACCAAACCAUGGCCAAGACGAAACGUUGAAAGUUAGUCACUGAAAAAAAAAAAACGAUUGAUAAAUAUGUUUAUCUAACCCAUGUAAGAUGUAAUCAAUCAAAAUCUCAGCAAUGUGAGAAAAGGCUAUUUUGUUUUGUUGUUUUUUGUCACUUGAGAAAUUAGUAGUAAACCAUAUAUAGUCCUAAUGACAUUGAAAAAUGGCCAUUAUUGCUUUUGUCUUCUUGACACUUCAAAAACUCUUAAGCUUUUACUUAGUUAUUCUAAAAUUACCCUUUUUUGUUGUUCUCGCUACAGGAAAUGUUAAUCUUUUUACACUUUUGAAUCUGUACUUUGAGUCACGUUAGUGUAGGAAAUGUAAACACAAAUUCUGUUUAUGAAAAUCGACACUUCAUAUCGUAAGUUAAAUAUUAUUAUAUUAAAUAUUUAAUCUCUUUUUGUUGUACAAACUUACCACUCCACAAUCGUACAAUGUACUAAAUAUGGUUGUGAAUUGUUAGGACUAGACUAUUCAAUGCGUGAACAGCUUUAGGUGUUGAGCCGUAUGCACAUAUUGUCAUCGUUUUCUACCACUUUGUCUGCACUCAGGCCAAUUAUGUCUAGCACAAAUAUUUCUAUCUCUAUCUAUAUAUCAUUAUAUCCAUAUAUAUAUUAUAUAUUUUGUACACAGUGCUUUUGGUAUGAACAACCAAUCUUGUGCCAUUAUUGUCAUCUGGCGUUUUAAUUAAUUAAAUAUCCCUUUAUAUAAGCUU